rnacentral:rRNA from 1 species
GAUGAACGCUGGCGGCGUGCUUAACACAUGCAAGUCGAACGAAGAUGCCGGAGUGCUUGCACUUUGGCAGACUGAGUGGCGGACGGGUGAGUAACGCGUGGGUAACCUGCCUCAUACACAUGGAUAACAUACCGAAAGGUAUGCUAAUACAAGAUGACAUAAGAGAUUCGCAUGGAUUUCUUAUCAAAGCUUUUGCGGUAUGAGAUGGACCCGCGUCUGAUUAGCUAGUUGGUAAGGUAAUGGCUUACCAAGGCGACGAUCAGUAGCCGACCUGAGAGGGUGAUCGGCCACAUUGGAACUGAGACACGGUCCAAAACUCCUAGGGAGCAGCAGUGGGGAAUAUUGCACAAUGGGCGAAAGCCUGAUGCAGCAAACG